rnacentral:rRNA from 1 species
GUGCGCUUACAAGCGGUCGGAGCACUAUUAAAAGUGUGACGGCGUGCCUUUUGCAAAAUGAUCCGGCGAGUUAGUGUUUGCAGCAGGUUAAGACCUUCCGGGUCGAAGCCACAGGGAAACCGAGUCUGAAUAGGGCGAAUACGUUGCGGGUACUAGGCGCGAAACUGUGUGAUCUACCCAUGGACAGGUUGAAGCGCGGGUUAAACUGCGUGGAGGACCGAACUCAUUUGGGUUGAAAACCGAUGGGAUGAUCUGUGGGGAGGAGUGAAAGUCUAAUCAAACACAGAGAUAGCUCGUUCUCUCCGAAAUAUUUUUAGGGAUAGCCUCAAGCAACUAUGCGACGGGGGUAGAGAGACUGAAUCGGAUGGGGGCCCUUUCCUGGGUACCUCACCGAACCAAACUCCGAAUACCGUUGUAACUAUCUUGGGAGUCAGUCUGCGGGGGAUAAGCUCCGUGGUCAAGAGGGAAACAACCCAGAUCGUCGGCUAAGGUCCCCAAGUUCUAUUCAGUCACUAAGGAAGUUGAAUCUCUGUGACAGCCAGGAUGUUGGCUUAGAAGCAGCCACCAUUUAAAAAGUGCGUAACAGCUUACUGGUCGAGAGGUUCUGCGCCGAUAAUGAACGGGAGUAAAUAGAACACCGAAGCCGCGGGAUGCAGCAAUGCAUCGGUAGGAGAGCGCUGAACAGGAUAUACAAGACGUACCGUAAGGAGCGUUGUCGGCCUGUUCAGGUGAUUAUGCCGGAAUGAGUAACGAUUAAGCAGGUGAGAAUCCUGCUCGCCGAAUACCUAAGGUUUCCUGGGGAAGGUAAAUCCGCCCAGGGUUAGCCGGUACCUUAGUCGAGGCCGAAGGGCGUAGACGAUGGAUGUAAGGUUAAUAUUCCUUAGCCGGCCUUGUGAAGUGAUGGAGGGACGGCACCCGGAGACACAGCAGUACGAUUAGAAAUGUCUGUUGGUCCUGAUGAGGCGUCCGGUUGGUAAAUCCGCCGGGCACAAACCAAGACAGGAUCACGAGAGCACUUAAGAUCUCGAAGUGUGUGGAAGGGUGUCCAAGAAAAACUUCUAAACGUUAAAGCAAGGUUGACCGUACUAAAACUGACACAGGUAGGUAAGAAGAGUAUUCUAAGGCGCUCGGGAGAACGGUGGUUAAGGAACUCUGCAAAAUGGCUCCGUAAGUUCGCGAUAAGGGGCGCCCACGCAAGUGGGCCACAGAAAAUCGGCACUAGCGACUGUUUAUCAAAAACACAGGACUCUGCGAACUCGUAAGAGGAUGUAUAGAGUCUGACGCCUGCCCGGUGUUGGUAGGUUAAGGAAGAGAGUUAGCAGCAAUGCGAAGCCCGCGACCGAAGCCCCAAUAAACGGCGGCCCUAACUAUGAGGGUCCUAAGGUAGCGAAAUUCCUUGUCGGGUAAGUUCCGACCUGCAUGAAAGGCGUAACGACUGGUGCACUGUCUCAACCACCGACCCGGUGAAAUUGUAGUUGUGGUGAAGAUGCCACAUACCCGCGGCUAGACGGAAAGACCCCAUGAACCUUCACUGUAGGCUGAUAUUGGGUUGAGGUAUGUAUUGUGCAGAAUAGCUGGGAGGCUUUGAACCGGGGACGCAAGUUCACGGGGAGCCAUCGUUGAGAUACCAGCCUGUAUAUGCUUUAAUUCUAACUUUGACCCAUGAAUCUGGGCUUAGGACAUUGUCAGUUGGGCAGUUUGACUGGGGCGGUCUCCUCCUAAAGAGUAACGGAGGAGCGCAAUGGUACCCUCAGCCUGGUCGGUAAUCAGGCAAAGAGCGUAAAGGUAUAAGGGUGCUUGACUGCGAGACAAAUAAGUCGAGCAGGUACGAAAGUAGGCCUUAGUGAUCCGGUAAUUCCGAAUGGAAGGGUUAUCGCUCAUCAGAUAAAAGGUACUCUGGGGAUAACAGGCUUAUCGCCACCGAGCGUCCACAGCGGCGUGGCGGUUUGGCACCUCGAUGUCGGCUCAUCGCAUCCUGGGGGUGAAGAAGCUCCCAAGGGUUUGGCUGUUCGCCAAUGAAAGCGGUACGUGAGCUGGGUUCAGACCGUCGUGAGACAGUAGCUCUGGUGUACCAGUUGUCACGCUAGUGGCACGGCUGGAUAGCUAACUACGGAAAGGAUAAACGCUGAAAGCAUCUAAGCGUGAAGCCCUCUCUGAGAUAAGGUUUCGUAGCUACUUGUAGCGAGAGUCCCCAGGUAGACUACCUGGUUGAUAGGCUAGAUGUGUAAGCACCGUAAGGUGUUCAGCUAACUAGUACUAAUGGACGAACGCUUGACCAU